GACGAACCGUGCAAGCGUUGUUCGGAAUCACUGGGCUUAAAGGGCGCGUAGGCGGGCUGGCAAGUCAGGGGUGAAAGCCCACGGCUUAACCGUGGAAGUGCCUCUGAUACUGCGGGCCUCGAGGGAGGUAGGGGCGUGCGGAACUUCCGGUGGAGCGGUGAAAUGCGUAGAUAUCGGAAGGAACACCGGUGGCGAAAGCGGCGCGCUGGACCUCUUCUGACGCUGAGGCGCGAAAGCCAGGGGAGCAAACGGG
rnacentral:rRNA from 1 species